rnacentral:rRNA from 1 species
AGCGAACGCUGGCGGCAGGCUUAACACAUGCAAGUCGAACGCAUCACUUCGGUGGUGAGUGGCAGACGGGUGAGUAACACGUGGGAACGUACCCUUCGAUCUGGGAUAACUUCGGGAAACUGGAGCUAAUACCGGAUACGCCCUUUUGGGGAAAGGUUUACUGUCGAAGGAUCGGCCCGCGUCUGAUUAGCUAGUUGGUGGGGUAACGGCCUACCAAGGCGACGAUCAGUAGCUGGUCUGAGAGGAUGAUCAGCCACACUGGGACUGAGACACGGCCCAGACUCCUACGGGAGGCAGCAGUGGGGAAUAUUGGACAAUGGGCGCAAGCCUGAUCCAGCCAUGCCGCGUGAGUGAUGAAGGCCUUAGGAUUGUAAAGCUCUUUUGUCCGGGACGAUAAUGACGGUACCGGAAGAAUAAGCCCCGGCUAACUUCGUG